CCUACGGGUGGCAGCAGUGGGGAAUUUUGGACAAUGGGCGCAAGCCUGAUCCAGCCAUGCCGCGUGCGGGAAGAAGGCCCUCGGGUUGUAAACCGCUUUUGGCCGGAACGAAACGGCGACUUCUAAUACGGGUCGCUAAUGACGGUACCGGCAGAAUAAGCACCGGCUAACUACGUGCCAGCAGCCGCGGUAAUACGUAGGGUGCGAGCGUUAAUCGGAAUUACUGGGCGUAAAGCGUACGCAGGCGGCUAGGUAAGACAGAUGUGAAAUCCCCGGGCCUAACCUGGGAACUGCAUUUGUGACUGCCUGGCUCGAGUCCGUCAGAGGGGGGUGGAAUUCCACGUGUAGCAGUGAAAUGCGUAGAUAUGUGGAGGAACACCGAUGGCGAAGGCAGCCCCCUGGGAUGAGACUGACGCUCAGGUACGAAAGCGUGGGGAGCAAACAGGAUUAGAUACCCUAGUAGUC
rnacentral:rRNA from 1 species